rnacentral:rRNA from 1 species
UGGGGAAUUUUGGACAAUGGGCGAAAGCCUGAUCCAGCAACGCCGCGUGUGUGAAGAAGGCCUUCGGGUUGUAAAGCACUUUUGUCCGGAAAGAAAUCCUUGGCUCUAAUACAGUCGGGGGAUGACGGUACCGGAAGAAUAAGCACCGGCUAACUACGUGCCAGCAGCCGCGGUAAUACGUAGGGUGCAAGCGUUAAUCGGAAUUACUGGGCGUAAAGCGUGCGCAGGCGGUUUGCUAAGACCGAUGUGAAAUCCCCGGGCUCAACCUGGGAACUGCAUUGGUGACUGGCAGGCUAGAGUAUGGCAGAGGGGGGUAGAAUUCCACGUGUAGCAGUGAAAUGCGUAGAGAUGUGGAGGAAUACCGAUGGCGAAGGCAGCCCCCUGGGCCAAUACUGACGCUCAUGCACGAAAGCGUGGGGAGCAAACAGGAUUAGAUACCCUGGUAGUCCACGCCCUAAACGAUGUCAACUAGUUGUUGGGGAUUCAUUUCCUAGUAACGUAGCUAACGCGUGAAGUUGACCGCCUGGGGAGUACGGUCGCAAGAUUAAAACUUAAAUGAA